rnacentral:rRNA from 1 species
CCUACGGGAGGCAGCAGUGGGGAAUAUUGGGCAAUGGGCGCAAGCCUGACCCAGCAAUGCCGCGUGAAGGAAGAAGGCUUUCGGGUUGUAAACUUCUUUGACAGGGGAAGAGCAGAAGACGGUACCCUGAAAACAAGCCACGGCUAACUACGUACCAGCAGCCGCGGUAAUACGUAGUUGGCAAGCGUUGUCCGGAUUUACUGGGUGUAAAGGGCGUGUAGCCGGGAAGGCAAGUCAGAUGUGAAAUCUGGAGGCUCAACCUCCAAAUUGCAUUUGAAACUGUUUUUCUUGAGUACUGGAGAGGCAGACGGAAUUCCUUGUGUAGCGGUGAGAUGCGUAGAUAUAAGGAGGAACACCAGUGGCGAAGGCGGUCUGCUGGACAGCAACUAACGGUGAGGCGCGAAAGCGUGGGGAGCAAACAGGAUUAGAUACCCGUGUAGUC